rnacentral:rRNA from 1 species
AUACGGAGGGUGCAAGCGUUAUCCGGAUUCAUUGGGUUUAAAGGGUGCGCAGGCGGGGAAAUAAGUCAGUGGUGAAAUACUGCCGCUCAACGGUAGGGCUGCCAUUGAUACUGUUUUUCUUGAGUAUGGUUGAGGCAGGUGGAAUGUGUUGUGUAGCGGUGAAAUGCAUAGAUAUGACACAGAACGCCGAUUGCGAAGGCAACUUGCUAAGCCAUCACUGACGCUGAGGCACGAAAGCGUGGGUAGCGAACAGGAUUAGAUACCCUGGUAGUCCACGCCGUAAACGAUGUUCACUCGCUGUUUGCGAUACACAGUAAGCGGCCGAGCGAAAGCAUUAAGUGAACCACCUGGGGAGUACGAUCGCAAGGUUGAA